AUUGAACGCUGGCGGCAUGCCUUACACAUGCAAGUCGAACGGCAGCACGGGAGCAAUCCUGGUGGCGAGUGGCGAACGGGUGAGUAAUAUAUCGGAACGUGCCCAGUCGUGGGGAUAACGUAGCGAAAGCUACGCUAAUACCGCAUACGAUCUAUGGAUGAAAGCGGGGGAUCGCAAGACCUCGCGCGAUUGGAGCGGCCGAUAUCAGAUUAGGUAGUUGGUGAGGUAAAGGCUCACCAAGCCGACGAUCUGUAGCUGGUCUGAGAGGACGACCAGCCACACUGGGACUGAGACACGGCCCAGACUCCUACGGGAGGCAGCAGUGGGGAAUUUUUGGACAAUGGGCGCAAGCCCUGAUCCAGCAAUGCCGCGUGCAGGAUGAAGGGCCUUCGGGUU
rnacentral:rRNA from 1 species